GAUAGAGGACACGAUCAAGAUGGCGGCGGUGUCUGGCUUGGUGCGGAGACCCCUUCGGGAGGUCUCCAGGCUGCUGAAGAGGCGCUUUCACUGGACCGCGCCGGCUGCGCUGCAGGUGACAGUUCGUGAUGCUAUAAAUCAGGGUAUGGAUGAGGAGCUGGAAAGAGAUGAGAAGGUAUUUCUGCUUGGAGAAGAAGUUGCCCAGUACGAUGGGGCAUACAAGGUUAGUCGAGGGCUGUGGAAGAAAUAUGGAGACAAGAGGAUUAUUGACACUCCCAUAUCAGAGAUGGGCUUUGCUGGAAUUGCUGUAGGUGCAGCUAUGGUAUGUAAUACUCUUUAUGAAACUUAUCCAAAGACAUUUCUUGUUGUUUUUUUUUUUUUAUUUUGAGAUAGAGUCUCAUUCUGUUGCCCAGCCUGGAGUGCACUGGCACCAUCUCAGCUUCCAGGUUCAAGCGAUUCUCCUGCCUCAGCCUCCAUAGUGGCUGGGAUUACAGGUUGCGCCACCGUGCCCAGCUAAUUUUUGUGUUUUUAGUGGAGAUGGGGUUUUACCAUGUUGGCCAGGCUGGUUUCGAACUCCUGGCCU
rnacentral:sRNA from 1 species